rnacentral:piRNA from 1 species
UUACCAAAAAUAUUUAAUUGA